rnacentral:rRNA from 1 species
GAUGAACGCUGGCGGCGUGCCUAAUACAUGCAAGUCGAGCGAACAGACGAGGAGCUUGCUCCUCUGACGUUAGCGGCGGACGGGUGAGUAACACGUGGAUAACCUACCUAUAAGACUGGGAUAACUUCUGGAAACCGGAGCUAAUACCGGAUAAUAUAUUGAACCGCAUGGUUCAAUAGUGAAAGACGGUUUUGCUGUCACUUAUAGAUGGAUCCGCGCCGCAUUAGCUAGUUGGUAAGGUAACGGCUUACCAAGGCGACGAUGCGUAGCCGACCUGAGAGGGUGAUCGGCCACACUGGAACUGAGACACGGUCCAGACUCCUACGGGAGGCAGCAGUAGGGAAUCUUCCGCAAUGGGCGAAAGCCUGACGGAGCAACGCCGCGUGAGUGAUGAAGGUCUUCGGAUCGUAAAACUCUGUUAUUAGGGAAGAACAAAUGUGUAAGUAACUAUGCAAGUCUUGACGGUACCUAAUCAGAAAGCCACGGCUAACUACGUG